GGAAAAGAAAAUAACAAUGAUUUCCCUAGUAACGGCGAGUGAAGAGGAAAGAGCUCAAAGUUGGAACCUGUUUGGCUUAGCUAAACCGGAUUGUAAACUGUAGAAACGUUUUCCUGAUACGCCAGACAAAUAAGUCCUUUGGAACAGGGCAUCAUAGAGGGUGAGAAUCCCGUCUUUGGUCUGAGCUGUUGUCUUUUGCGAUACGUUUUCAAAGAGUCAGGUUGUUUGGGAAUGCAGCCUAAAUUGGGUGGUAAAUCUCACCUAAAGCUAAAUAUUUGCGAGAGACCGAUAGCGAACAAGUACCGUGAGGGAAAGAUGAAAAGAACUUUGAAAAGAGAGUUAAACAGUAUGUGAAAUUGUUAAAAGGGAACCGUUUGGAGCCAGACUGGCUUGAUUGUAAUCAAUCUAGGUUUCGACCUGGAUGCACUUGCGGUCUAUGCCUGCCAACGACAGUUCUUUCUGAAGGAUAAAACUAAGAGGAAUGUGGCCCCUCGGGGUGUUAUAGCCUUUUAGAUAAUACUUUGGAUGGGACUGAGGAACGCAGUGAAUGCUUAUGGCGAGAUUGCUAGGCGCUUUUGUUGAUAUAUGUCAGAAUUUCUGCUUCGGGUGGUGCUGAUGUAUAAAGAUGAAACUCGUUUGGUUAAUUUUCUAUUCACUUAGGUUGUUGGCUUAAUGACUCUAAAUGACCC
rnacentral:rRNA from 1 species